UCGGGAAUUUUGGGCAAUGGGCGAAAGCCUGACCCAGCAACGCCGCGUGAGGGAUGAAGUAUUUCGGUAUGUAAACCUCGAAAGAAUGGGAAGAAUAAAUGACGGUACCAUUUAUAAGCUCCGGCUAACUACGUGCCAGCAGCCGCGGUAAUACGUAGGGAGCAAGCGUUGUUCGGAUUUACUGGGUGUAAAGGGCGCGCAGGCGGGAUAAAAAGUCAGUGGUGAAAUCCUACAGCUUAACUGUAGAACUGCCUUUGAUACUUUUAUUCUUGAGUUCGGGAGAGAGAGACGGAAUUCCAGGUGUAGUGGUGAAAUACGUAGAUAUCUGGAAGAACACCAGUUGCGAAGGCGGUCUCUUGAUCCGACACUGACGCUGAGGCGCGAAAGCGUGGGGAGCAAACA
rnacentral:rRNA from 1 species